CAGAUCAUGCUUAGAGCAUGUUGUUAUUUACAUUAAUGACUUAUUUGUGCGAUUCAAAUUGAUCUGA
rnacentral:tRNA from 1 species